GGGAGUAGAGGCGGGGGAGAAGAUACAAAUGAAAGCGCCAGGUAGGAAUGACGUACAAAACAAGGUGACAAGAUACAAAUGAUGGCAUGCCAUUAUGGUCCUUAGCACCGAGCCAUAUCCUAUCGUGUGCACCUCUUAGGGUUCGUAUCCCCAUCACAAUCACCAAACCUUCUUGCUACGUAUCCUCCCCGGCACUGAUGCUUUGACUUCAUCUUGCAGAUGCAAACGCACACCCACCCCACAAUAAAGUUCACCGAAUCAGACACAACGGAAUCGGUGAAAAGGGUGAUCCAUCAGGAGAUGGGAGAAGAAUCCCGCGGGGGCGCUGCUGCGCCGAACCAAGGGGGUCCCUUCCGCCACCACGUUGAGCUCGCCGGGCGCCGAGGCGUAGCGGGCGAGCGCCGGCGGCGGCCCAUUCGAUCUAUCGUCGCUUCCGAAAUAGAAAAGGUUGUCGCAUCCCAUCCGGAUAACUAUAAACGCGCCUGCAAAGAUAUUUGCGAUGGCCAUCUUCACGCAUUGAUGGUGAGAGCGAGAAAGUGACAAAGAGACGACGUGGCGCCGGUAAACUAAUGAUCGACGUAGAUAACGUCAGCGGGCAUCGCAAAGGUAAGUUUGGCAGCGACUCACCCCCAACCAACCCGAUGGCUGCCUCCCGUGGAGCGUUUGGUAAGGCGGAAAACCGACCCCAAGUCACUCGCGAUCUGUAAUACCAUACACGCAUGUGACUGGGUCCCGCA
rnacentral:lncRNA from 1 species